AUUAGCUCAGUCGGUAGAGCACCUGACUUUUAAUCAGGGUGUCCCGGGUUCAAGUCCCGG
rnacentral:tRNA from 1 species